UACGGAGGGUGCGAGCGUUAAUCGGAAUUACUGGGCGUAAAGCGUGCGUAGACGGUAGCGUAAGUCGGGUGUGAAAGCCCCGGGCUCAACCUGGGAAUUGCAUUCGAGACUGCUCUGCUAGGGUGCGGAAGAGGGAAGCGGAAUUUCCGGUGUAGCGGUGAAAUGCGUAGAUAUCGGAAGGAACACCAGUGGCGAAAGCGGCUUCCUGGUCCAGCACCGACGUUCAGGCACGAGAGCGUGGGGAGCAAACAGG
rnacentral:rRNA from 1 species